AAAGUCAAAAAUAUUGGUUUUCUUUUUGAUAAAAUUUAAUGGUGGAAUGAUGAAAUAUUUUGGAUAAAAGGCUCUUAUAGAAAUUUAUAUUUUAGAUAGUAUUCAAAUGGCAUUAAUUUAGUCCUUUUGUCAUUUCAUCUGACAAAAGCACUUUUCUGUAAGCUUUUCAUUUGCUUCACUCUUCAACUACAAAGUAUUUGAUCAUAUGAGGGCAUGGGAGGAAAUGAGAGUGAGCCUAGGACCUUUGCUGAUGUGUUAGACAUCUUGUACAGGAUUAAUUCUAAAUGAGUUCCAUGAUGUGGAUUUGAACUUUCUCAGCUCUUGGAUAACAUUUAUCCUCAUCAGCACAUCUGCCCCUGCCCUAAGUCCUGGAGAUUCUGAUCUCCAGUCUGGUUCAGGCUGCGAGUGCCUAUCUUCUGUUGGCAGCGGGAAGGUGACUGGCCAGCAGAGUCCUCUGGGAGCUCCUCCUAGAGCAGCUGCCACUAACAGCUUUCCCUCUAUGCUCACUCUUUGAGGAACAGCCACAUUUCAAGGCUGCUUGUGUUGUUGGUGAUUACUGGCAGCCAGCACAGAGGAAAAGAGGGCCAGUGGCCAAAGCCAAACUGCAGUAUGGCAAUGGAAGGAGAAAAAAAAGUGACUUUACAGUGGAGAAACCUGACAAACACUACCUCAACCAGGUGAUCAAGGUCAGCAUCAGCAGUGAUCAGCCAUGUUGUUGGUAUAUACCUUUGAUACGACAUGCUGAAAGUGGCACUUUACCUCUGUGGUUUUCCUCCCCCACAACAUGUAACUCGAGUUUAAUCAUGAAAAAACAUCAGAGGAAUCACAAUUGAGGAAAAUUCUGCUAAUUUCUUGUUCCAUACUCCUCAAAACCAUCAAGGUCAUCAAAAGUAAAAGUCUGAGAAACUCACAAUGAAGAGGAUCCUAAAGAAAAGUGACUAACUGUCACAUCAUGUCCUUGAGAAUCUGAAUAAAGAAUGGACUCUAGUUACUGCUGAUGUAUCAAUAUUGGCUGAUUAUUGCAUUGGGGUAUGGGUGGGGACUUGAUAAUAUGGGUAAAUGUAGUAACCACAUUGUUUUUUCAUGUGAAACCUUCAUAAGAGUGUAUAUCAAUCAUACCUUAAUAAAAAAUUUAAAAAAUA